CCUACGGGUUGCACCAGUGGGGAAUAUUGGACAAUGGGCGCAAGCCUGAUCCAGCAAUGCCGCGUGUGUGGAGAAGGCUUUCGGAUUGUAAAGCACUUUCAGCGGGGACGAUGAUGACGGUACCCGCAGAAGAAGCCCCGGCUAACUUCGUGCAGCAGCCGCGGUAAUACGAAGGGGGCUAGCGUUGCUCGGAAUGACUGGGCGUAAAGGGCGCGUAGGCGGUUUAUGCAGUCAGAUGUGAAAUCCCCGGGCUUAACCUGGGAACUGCAUUUGAGACGCAUAGACUAGAGGUCGAGAGAGGGUUGUGGAAUUCCCAUUGUAGAGGUGAAAUUCGUAGAUAUUGGGAAGAACACCGGUGGCGAAGGCGGCAACCUGGCUCGAUACUGACGCUGAGGCGCGAAAGCGUGGGGAGCAAACAGGAUUAGAUACCCUCGUAGUC
rnacentral:rRNA from 1 species